rnacentral:misc_RNA from 1 species
GAUGAAGAACGCAGCGAAAUGCGAUAAGUAAUGUGAAUUGCAGAAUUCAGUGAAUCAUCGAAUCUUUGAACGCACAUUGCGCCCGCCAGUAUUCUGGCGGGCAUGCCUGUUCGAGCGUCAUUUCAACCAUCAGGCCCCCGGCUUGUGUUGGGGACCUGCGGCUGCCGCAGGCCCUGAAAACCAGUGGCGGGCUCGCUGUCACACCGAGCGUAGUAGAUUUUCAUCUCGCUCAGGGCGUGCUGCGGGUUCCGGCCGUAAAAAGCCUUAUUUACCCAAGGUUGACCUCGGAUCAGGUAGGAAGACCCGCUGAACUUAAGCAUAUCAAUAAGCGGAGGA